rnacentral:snRNA from 1 species
GUCACUUCUCGGCCUUUUGGCUAAGAUCAAGUGAAUAUACUUAAUGUAUUUUUUUGCUUACAGUGAGGUUGAGUACUGUUCAUAUUGGCUAAUUUCACAAUUUCACAAUUUUUUUUCUCUUGUGAAUUGUCUGU